UACGUAGGGGGCAAGCGUUGUCCGGAUUUAUUGGGCGUAAAGAGCGUGUAGGCGGCUACAGUAGGUCCGUUGUGAAAACUCGAGGCUCAACCUCGAGACGCGAUGGAAACCAUCUGACUAGAGUCCGGAAGAGGAGAGUGGAAUUCCUGGUGUAGCGGUGAAAUGCGCAGAUAUCAGGAAGAACACCCGUGGCGUAAGGCGGCUCUCUGGUACGGUACUGACGCUGAGACGCGAAAGCGUGGGGAGCAACAGGAUUAGAACUACCGAGUCAG
rnacentral:rRNA from 1 species